rnacentral:rRNA from 1 species
ACGGGGCUGCAGCAGGCGCGAAAACUUCACACUGGGGGGAACCCCGAUGAGGGAAAUCCUAGUGCUAGGACAUUUGUUCUAGGCUUUUCUCAAGCGUAGAUCACCUUGAGGAAAUAAGGGCUUGGGUAAGACGGGUGCCAGCCGCCGCGGUAAUACCUGCAGCCCAAGUGGUGGUCCGAAUUUUAUUGAGUCUAAAACGUUCGUAGCCGGUUUGGUAAAUCUUUGGGUAAAUCGGGAGGCUCAACUUUCCGACUUCCGAAGAGACUGCCAAACUUGGGACCGGGAGAGGCUAGAGGUACUUCUGGGGUAGGGGUAAAAUCCUGUAAUCCUAGAAGGACCACCGGUGGCGAAGGCGUCUAGCUAGAACGGAUCCGACGGUGAGGGACGAAGCCCUGGGUCGCAAACGGGAUUAGAUACCCCGGUAGUCCAGGGUGUAAACGCUGCCGACUUGGUGUCGGAGGCCCUUCGGGGGCAUUCAGUGCCGGAGAGAAGUUGUUAAGUCGGCUACUUGGGGAGUACGUCCGCAAGGAUGAAACUUAAAGGAAUUGGCGGGGGAGCAC